rnacentral:rRNA from 1 species
AUUGAACGCUGGCGGCAUGCUUUACACAUGCAAGUCGAACGGUAACAGGGAGCUUGCUCCGCUGACGAGUGGCGAACGGGUGAGUAAUAUAUCGGAACGUACCCAAGAGUGGGGGAUAACGUAGCGAAAGUUACGCUAAUACCGCAUACGAUCUAUGGAUGAAAGCAGGGGACCUUCGGGCCUUGUGCUCCUGGAGCGGCCGAUAUCUGAUUAGCUAGUUGGUGAGGUAAAGGCUCACCAAGGCGACGAUCAGUAGCUGGUCUGAGAGGACGACCAGCCACACUGGAACUGAGACACGUGCCAGACUCCUACGGGAGGCAGCAGUGGGGAAUUUUGGACAAUGGGCGCAAGCCUGAUCCAGCAAUGCCGCGUGAGUGAAGAAGGCCUUCGGGUUGUAAAGCUCUUUUGUCAGGGAAGAAACGGCUGUGGCUAAUAUCCACGGCUAAUGACGGUACCUGAAGAAUAAGCACCGGCUAACUACGUGCCAGCCGCCGCGGUAA